ACUUACAGAGCAGUGUAAUGAACAAAGAUGAGGUAUCUACUGUCACCCUGAGCAAAGGUCAGUCUCUGCUGCUUCGCUGCAGAGUAAAAGGAUACAGUGAGAAAUCACCUGUGUGGGAGAAAGGAGGAAGACAGCUCGAUGCCAGGACAUUAGCAUGCAAACCAGAGGAGGAGGAGGAGGUACAGUAAUGUCCUGUAAUCAGGGAGAGUUUCCUUAAACUGUCUUGUUAUGUUUGUCUGAAAACUGACUGACCUCUUUAAUAUUCCUCAGUCUGAGACACAAAGUACUUCACUGAUAAUCAUCCUGCAAAUGAUCAUUAUUAUGGGUUUUUGUCUUCCAGAUGUGCAUUAAAAAUGACUCACAUUACGGUGUUCGGAUGGCCUACCUGUCCAUCAGAUCAGUGAGAGAGGAGCACAGCGGCACAUACACCUGCACGAGUACAGAUAAAAACUCAAAGUCAGUUUAUGUUCAUGUCUCGGAUGAAGGUUUCCUCUCUGCACAGCUGGAUGAGACCAAGAUCAUAUCAGCUCAGGAGGCAUCCAGCACCUGCUUGCAGGCCACUGUUUCCUACCAUCCUGUUCUCCAGCACUGUUCUUGGGAGACUCCUGACAAAAACAGGACUAAAUGUGUCAGGGAGACAUGGGUAACACAGCACAGGACUGUGAAGCUUUGUGAUCCACUCAUAUCAGGAGAUUAUAAGUUACACCUGGAGGCUGGAGAACAAAAUGAAACAAAGACCAUAUCAGUGUGUGUUGUAGGUGGGUUAAUGUAACCUUUGUUACAGUUUU
rnacentral:lncRNA from 1 species